rnacentral:rRNA from 1 species
AGUGAACGCUGGCGGUAGGCCUAACACAUGCAAGUCGAACGGCAGCACAGUAAGAGCUUGCUCUUACGGGUGGCGAGUGGCGGACGGGUGAGGAAUACAUCGGAAUCUACUUUUUCGUGGGGGAUAACGUAGGUAAACUUACGCUAAUACCGCAUACGACCUACGGGUGAAAGCAGGGGAUCUUCGGACCUUGCGCGAUUGAAUGAGCCGAUGUCGGAUUAGCUAGUUGGCGGGGUAAAGGCCCACCAAGGCGACGAUCCGUAGCUGGUCUGAGAGGAUGAUCAGCCACACUGGAACUGAGACACGGUCCAGACUCCUACGGGAGGCAGCAGUGGGGAAUAUUGGACAAUGGGCGCAAGCCUGAUCCAGCCAUACCGCGUGGGUGAAGAAGGCCUUCGGGUUGUAAAGCCCUUUUGUUGGGAAAGAAAAGCAGAAGGUUAAUACCCCGCUGUUCUGACGGUACCCAAAGAAUAAGCACCGGCUAACUUCGUG